rnacentral:rRNA from 1 species
CCUACGGGUGGCAGCAGUGGGGAAUAUUGCACAAUGGGGGAAACCCUGAUGCAGCAACGCCGCGUGAGUGAAGAAGUAUUUCGGUACGUAAAGCUCUAUCGGCAGGGAAGAAAAUGACGGUACCUGACUAAGAAGCCCCGGCUAACUACGUGCCAGCAGCCGCGGUAAUACGUAGGGGGCAAGCGUUAUCCGGAUUUACUGGGUGUAAAGGGAGCGUAGACGGCAGUGCAAGUCUGGAGUGAAAUCCCAUGGCUUAACCAUGGAACUGCUUUGGAAACUGUGCAGCUAGAGUGCAGGAGAGGUAAGCGGAAUUCCUAGUGUAGCGGUGAAAUGCGUAGAUAUUAGGAGGAACACCAGUGGCGAAGGCGGCUUACUGGACUGUAACUGACGUUGAGGCUCGAAAGCGUGGGGAGCAAACAGGAUUAGAUACCCGGGUAGUC